AAACAUAGGAGGAAUUAAUUUAUGUGGUAUAAUUGUAUGUACAUACACACACUCCACUUAAACGUUCACUGUGAAAAAAUAGUUUAAAACUAUUCAUUAGGGGAUUGUAAGGUCUUGUACCCAAUUUUUAUGGCACAGGCAAGUUUGGCCUGGAAACUGCUACAGAGGGCUAGAAAAAUUUAAUUCCACACACAAUGGUUAAAAACAUAUGAAACUGUACUACAACAACAAAUAUUUUUACAGCAGCCAUGUAUUUUAAUAAGGGCAAGACACGAGACAUUUCGGUGCAUUUUAAUAACUAUCCAAAAUUUGGUACUUUUGUUACAUGUGUUCUAAAAGACUUUAGAAGUCUUUAGCAGUAGUUGGUCAGGAAAUUUCAUGCCCAGUCUUAUUGCAUCACUAGAUGAUGAUGCAAUAUUGAGUGAAAAAAAUGUUUAAAUACACAAAAGGAAAAUGAUAGAAUAAUUAUUGCAAUUAAUUGACCAGCAAAUAAAUGCUCGAAGGAACCAAAUAAGAGGAAAAAAAGAAAAUGUUUCAUAUAAAAUAAAGGGUAAGAUUUUCAGACGUGCCAAAGUGAUGUAUGAGCCAAAUUCUCAUUAAUUUAAACAAAAAAACCCCUAAACACAACAAAAACCAAACCAGUGAUGUGAAAGAGAGUGCUGAGAUACUUUAUUUAGAUUAAAAUUUAGAUUACAUUACAGAAAUAGGAAGAGGAGGUUACUCACCCUGUGCAGUAACUGAUGUACUUCAAAAUGAGUGUCCCUGUGGGUGCUCCACUUCAGGUGUUGGUAUGUCCCUGCGCCUUCGCUCGGAGAUUUUUGCAGCAGUACUCGUACUGGCCAUGCAUGCACAGAACCUGCCUCCCUACUCUUGAGUAUAUCGUAAUAGUACGCAUGUGUGGCUGGUCUCCUCAUUUCCUUCUCUGCAACAGAGGCUACCCCAACUCCAAAGAAGAGGGGAGGAGGGUGGAUAGUGGAGCACCCACAGGGACAUUCAUCUCGAAGAAUGUCAGUUACAGCACAGGGUGAGUAACUUCCUCUUCUUCUUCUUCGACAGAUGUCCCUGUGGGUGGCUCCACUGCAGGUGACUUAAAAGCAGUGUAUCUCAAGGAGGUAGGGUAGCUACACAUCUAGUGGAAUGAGUUCUGAUGGAGGCUGGAGGUGUAACUUGUUUUAUCUGAUAGCACAGUUAGUUAGAUGCAGUCAGAGAUCCAGUUUGAAAGUCUCUGGGUAGAAAUAGGUAUCCCUUUGGAACGCUCUGUGAUGGAGACAACAAGUCUAGAAGAGCUUCUAAGAGGUUUGGUUCUAUCCAAAUAUAAGGACAAGGCCCUGCGUACAUCUAACGUAUGUAUUGUGGCUUCAAAAGAGUUUGCAUGUGGUUUUGGAAAGAAAGUCGGUAGGUGUACUGGCUCAUUAAUGUGGAAUGAGUGAACCUUUGGAAGAAAUUUGGGAUGUAAUCUAAAGGUAACCUUGUCCUUGAAAAAUAGUGUAUAUGGUGGAUCUGCCAUAAGGGCUGCUAUUUCUUCUGCCCUUCUGGUGGAGGUAAUUGCCACUAAAAAUGCUGUUUUCAUAAAGAGGUGUAAAAGGGAGCAGGUGGCUAGUGGCUCAAAUGGUUGUUGAGUUAGGCAGGAUAAUACUAAAUGAAGGUCCCACAGAGGGGUAGGCGGUUUAAUGUUUGGGUAUAGGGUUUGGAGUCCCUUGAGGAAACGCUUGGUGAUCGGAUGAGCAAAGACAGAGGUAUUGUCGAUUCUGUCAUGAAAGGUUGUAACAACAGCUAAGUGGACUCUGAUGGAGCUGAAAGAAAGGCCAGAUUGCUUAAUGUCCAAUAGAUAGUCAAGUAUGAGCAGGAGGGGUACGGACAUGGGAGAAAGUUGUUUAGCUGAACACCAUUGUCUGAAUCACUUCCACUUUCGGAGAUAGGUGGUGCGAGUAUAUUGUGUUCUGCUGUGUAGGAGCACUCUUUGAACUUGGUGAGAGCAAGCUAGCUCGUUUUCAGAGAACCAUGUGGGUACCAGGCUUUGUGGUGAAGCAUGGACAGAUUAGGGUGAAGAAAUCGGCCGUGUUGUUGUAAUAAGAGGUUCGGAAUGAGGGGCAAUGAGAUUGGUGGUCAAAUUGACAUUCUGGUAAGGAACGGAAACCACGGUUGUCUGAGCCACGACGGGCAAUCAAGAUCACCGUGGCACGAUCUGUUCAUAUCUCUGUGAGAACUCUGUGGAGAAUCGGUAUGGGGGGAAAAGUGUAGAGUAAGUUCCAUUGCCAUGGGAUCAUAAAUGCAUCUCCCAGGUAAUGUUUGCCGAGUCCUGCUCUGGAGCAAAAUUUGGGACAUUUCGUGUUUUUCGCAGUUGCAAAAAGGUUUAUGACCCCAAAUGUGAAAUGUGUUACAGAUGAUUGACUUGUUUAUCUCCCACUCAUGAUCCCAGGGAAAGCGUCUGCUUAAUUCGUCCGCUGUGGUAUUCAGAACUCCGGGAAGAUAGGCAACCGAUAUGCGGAUGUUGUUCACAAGGCACCAAUUCCAGAGCUUCAUAGCUGCUGUGCAGAGCGAGUGAGAGUGAGCUCCUCUCUGCCUGUUUACAUAGAACAUGCAAGCAAUGUUGUCUGUUAUGCGUACAUAUUGAUUCCUGAUUAGUGGGAGGAAGUGAUGGCAGGCAUUGCGUAUGGCUCGAAGUUCUAGGACAUUUAUGUGCUGGGAGGUUUCAGUGGAAGACCAUAGCCCCUGGACUGUGUGGUGAGACGUGGGCACCCCACCCUGUGAGGGAUGCAUCGGUAGUCAUCAUCGGGGAUGGAGUGUUCUGGAGAAAGGGGACACCAGAGCAGAGGUUGGAAGGAACUGUCCACCAUAGUAUAAAGUCUGACUCGGAAGGGUAUGGAGAGAGGCUUGUUUAGAGAGUGCACGUUAGGUUUGUAAACCGUGGCCAAGCAAGCUUGGAAGCACCUCAUGUACAGGCAUGCGUUUUAGACCACGAAAGUGCACAAGGCCAUGUGGCCCAGUAGUUGUAGGCAGCCUCGGACAGUGACCUGGGGACUGUUGCGAAGUUUUAUAUGGCCAGAAGCUUUAUGGUGUUGAACUGGUCGGGUGGGAGAGAUGCCAACCCUGUUCGGGAGUCGAGGUCCGCUCCUAUAAACUCCAGGUGCUGGGUAGGGCAUAAUGUGGAUUUGUUUUUGUUUGUUUGUAGUCCAAGAGAUAGGAAACAAUCAACCGUGAGAUGCGUGAAUCGGAGAGGUCUGAUGAAUGUCAAGGCUUUGAGGAGGCAAUCGUCGAGGUAAUUUCUGAAUCCUGGAACCAUGGAGGAGCGAUGCUUUGAUAUGGAGCAGCUAUGGAUUGGGAUUGAAAAUGCGAUCCACACCCUGAGAAAGGAGUUGCAGAGUCAGGCAAAGAGACAUUGGAGGGCAUACUUCCGUAAAGGAGGCCCAGAGAGUGGUACGUGGCUUGAAAACUGCGACAUCCCUUUGGACUUGAGACCUGGAGCUGCCCUUGACAAGCCAAUCAUCGAGGUACAGGUAGAUCUGGAUACCCCAAUGCCCAAGGUAAGCUGCUACCACCAACAUGCACCUGGUAAACACUCUUGGUGCUGUCGCCAGGCUGAAUGAGAGGACCACAAACUGGCAGUGGUGGGGCCCCACCAUAAACCUGGAAGAAGCGUCUGUGUCCUUGAAAGAUUGAUAUGUGGUAGUAUGUGUUCUUCAAGUCAAGGGCUGCAUAGCAGUCUCCCAGAUUCAGAAAAGGGACAAUAGAAGCCAAUGAAACCAGGCAGAAUUUUAGCUUCUUUAGGUACUUGUUGAGGUCUCGCAGGUCCAGGAUGGGCCAUAGACCUCUCUCAGCCUUUGGGAUUAAAAAGUGACUGGAACAGAACCCCUUGUUCCUGUAUUUGAGAGGAACUUCUUCCAUUGCAACUCCUUUACCUACUGAGCAAGGAGACUCUUGUGAGAAGGGUCCCUGAAGAGGGACAGGAAAGGCAGAUGGGAAGGAGGGGUAUAAAAGAACUAGAGGAUAUAACCCUGCUCCACUGUGAUGAGGACCCAUCAGUCUGAGGUUAUAGCAGUCCAAGUAGGGAUGAAAAGGGAAAGGCGGUUGGAGAACACUAGGACAGAUGGAUUCGGGGAAUAGUCUAGUAGGUUGCCCUCGGGCACACCCUCAAAAUGACCGUUUGGCCCCUUGCUUGAUAGGGGUCGAGCCUGACUAGGCAGAGGGUGAAAGCGGGUGGCUCAGAUGGUGCUUGUAGCCCUUGGCUCAUUUGUGGAGCUGGUUCUGCUGAGGCUGGCUCCCUGGCCCUGAGGCUUGAACCGCUUACACGCUGGGGCUGGGAUGUAAAGACCCAGGGUUUUCAGGGUAGUGUGGGAGCCCUUGAGGCCAUACAAUUUGCUGUCUGUUUGCUCCACAAAUAGGGCUCAGCUGUUGAAGGGCAAGUCCUGCAUUGACUGCUGAGCCUCAGAGGACAACCCAGAGAGGAGUAGCCAGGAGGCUCGUCUGUUGCGGCCUGGACGGCCACCCUGGCUGUAGUCAUGCCCUCAUCAAGGAUCACUCAGAAUUCCUUCUUGGAAGCCUCAGGAAGCAACCCUUCAACCUCAGCCAUAGCUUGCCACAUAUUAGUCAUAUUGGCCAAGGAGGGCUCGGUGAUUGGCCACUCUCAGCUGAAGGCUAGAAGACUAAUAAAUCUUACAUCCAAAAAGAUCCAGCGUCCUUAAAUCUUCAUUUUUUUGGGGUGGCCUGGGUUGUCCUCAACUCUCUUUGUGGUUAACCACCUCUACCAUAAGGAAACUGGGGACAAAUGGUGAGUAUAAGUACUUAUGCCUCUUGGUUGGCACAGAGUAUGUGUGUUCAGCCCUCUUAGAGAUAGAGACCAGGGAAGAGGGGGUCUGCUAUAGGGCAUUAGUGAUUUUGGAAACACCUUCAUGAGAGGGUAGGGCUAUUCUGGCAGGAGCUGAGGAGCAGAGGACGUCAAACAAAAUCUGAGGUUUCUUCCAGUUCCUCUGCCUGAAGCCCCAGGUUGGAGGUGACCCUCUUCAAAAGUUCUGGUGCGCUUUGGCAUCAUCCUGAGGAACUGGGUGAGGGGGCCCCAUGAUAGCUGGUCUGGCAAUGACGAGGACGAUUCCAGUGCUGUGGCAACCUCCACUUCCAUUGGUAGAACAGCAGCUUGCUCCCCUGGGUCUUCCUGGACCUGUGGGGUCUUACCCACCAAAGCCAUGAGCACCGGAGGGGGACGGGAUACCAAAGCCGCUGGCCUCUCUGAGGAUCCCAACACCAACCGGGCAGCCUGAGGAGGUUAGGUGAACCCCCAAGGAUUCCACGGGUACCAUGACGCCAUCCACUGCACUUGGGGCCAUGGGACAGGUUUCAGUGAUGAUGACGACGAUGUAGACAGCACCACAGGUACCAGGGCUCGCCCCGCAGUCAGGGAACCUCGCUCCAUGCCAGAGGUAUAAAUGGAGUGGUCAGUACUGGGUGACCAAGAUCGGGUGGAGAGGUGGCUCUUGUCCGACCGAUGCCAGUCACUGCAUCCCGAAGCCAACCUGUCCAAGCGAGACAGACGUCUUGGUCAGGAUCUUGGGGACCGAUGGCAUUCAGCAGAUCUGCAUCUGACACCUGGUGAUCCACAACUCGCACUACUCGAACGGUACUGGGAUGCUGAACGGGACCGGGAGUAAAUACAGGUCAGUUGCCAGGAGGAUCUUCCUGAGUAAGGUGAACUACUGCUUGGAAAUGGGCGAUGACAGUCUGUCGAUCUAUGAUCUCUGAUCCUCGAUCGGUCCUGGGCCCUUGGAGAUGGUUGAGACUGGUCCAGGAGUUCUUGCCGUGUGGUGCAUGCCUCAGAAGGUCUGCAUCAAUCUACCGGCAAGGUACGUCUCGAGUCCCUCGAUCGAUGGCCCCUGUGUGGAAUGGUGCAGCUGCGGCGGGGACACACAUGUAGGUCCCAAUGUGGGUAUUCCCCAAGACCGGGGUAAUGCUGGAGCCAAUGUGGGCAGCACCAGCAGCAUCAGGAUCUCCUGAGCUGCUUGUGGGGCUUCGAGCAUCGACAGCACCAGAAGCUGGCUGGGGCCUGCACCGCUAUCCGGAGCCGCAGGCAAAGUAUGGGAUGGGCUGCACCACUUUACUUGAGUUGGUGCCAGACUUCCUGAAGGGGGUGUUGAGCUGCCCAAUAUAGGUCCUGGCUUGCCCCCAGCCCUCUUCUUUCCCUUAUGGGAGGUAAGAGAUCUUCCCUGCACAGUCUUUUUUGUCUUUUUGAUCAGAGCUGUAGAGGACGAUCGAUGCUGGCUCGUGGAUGGCACUGGCGGAGCACAGUGCACAGAGGCUGUGGUGCUCGGUGAGAAGUUGGACCGUUGCCGAAGUGAACCUCAACUCCCUUAGGAGCGCUUUCAGAUGGAUAUCGCGCUCUUUCUUUGUCCUAGGUUUAAAGGGCUUGCAAAUACUGCACUUGUCACUUAUGUGCCCUUCGCCUAAGCACCUUAGGCAGCCGGUAUGUGGCUCUCUGAUGGACAGUUACUGGGCCCGUUUGCAGCAAUCACUGGGGGUUUUCAACGUUUGCAAGAACAGAGAACAAAACAAUGCUAGCUGAAGCAGCAAACAUUCCAGCACCAUCACUGGCGGCAAAAAGGAACCAGGGGAGGGGGGAGACGGUGGCGCCCCUUAUACCGCGCCAUGUGGGUGCCACUCAGAGGGCACCAGAGCUGAUCCACUACAGAUACUGAUGAGGGAAAAGCUUCCGGCACUGGUGCAUGUGGCAAACACACACCUAAUAUGGAAUGGAAACGCGCAAGCACUCGAAGAAGAAUAUCUGCUUCUGGAAGACUUGAUUUAUAAGGCUAAAGCCCCCAGGCAGUACAGUAUUUGCUGUUGGUUUUUGGGGUCUCCCCUGCUGCCUCAUUGAUUACUUCCGGUUCCAACAUGUCCGGUUGACGUAACUCUGGUGUUCGUAUCUUUGAGGUUCUACUGUACUAUACAUUGCAUCAUGUUUUGGGAUUGGGUUGAUUGCAUUGCAAGAACCAAUCCCUGUGCAGCAUGCUCUGUACAUGCUCAACCUACUCUACUGCCUCAUCUCUACAUUCUUUACUAAUCUUGUCCAUACUUAUUUUAUUCAAAGUAAAUGGUUCCUUGGGUGUUCUACCUCUUAUCUCAGCUGGUGCAGACAUUCUGUCUUUUUAGUCUACUGAGCUAUUUACUUAUCUUAUUUAGCACAAACGCUAUUUUCAGCCUAAUGAUCUGUUUAUCUCCCUAAUUCUAUCCUCCAAAAAAUGAGGCCUCCCUCCAUGUGUUAAUUGCUCAUGUCACUUCAGGCCUCAGCUACACCAAGGAAUGGCAGCCCAGUCCCCCACUUGAGCACAAGUACAGGCACUUCCUGUUUCUCGUCAUGGAGAACAGGUCUAUUUGUGGGACACCCCAAUAAUGAAAUAUGCAAUGGAGUACAAUAGGAUCUAUCACCCAUUCAUGAUCCUGAGAGAAGCAUAUGCUGAGGGUAUUUGCAGCGAUGUUUCAGACACCCAGAAAGUAAGCUCCUGAGAGGCUGAUCUAAGUUCCCUCUAAGCUAUACAGCUGUAUGGCCGGGCCGCGCACUUCAGGUGUCCCUCUGCCCACUGCCAUGCUGCUCCUGCCUUCGAGCUGCUCGUGGGAGCCUCCUGCUUGCUAUGCAGAGCAGGGAGGAAGGGGGGUGCUGAUGUCAGGCUGUCCCCUUCCCUCGGUGUUCAACAGCAUAAGCAUUCCACAAUUAUGGUUUGCUUUGUGUCCCAGAGCAGAUAAGCACAGCAUGAAAGGGCCGGCAGUCAGAAACUGAGCAUUGAAAAGGGAGGGGUGCAUGCCUUCAGGGCAGCCAUAUGAGUUCAAAACAACAAGCAGAGCUGCCAUUUGAGGGACUAUGGGACACUUCUGGGGACCAACUGAUUGCUUUCUGAGAUGUAAUGUGUUUACACUGCCAAUACAGCGCUGGAUUCUCUGCGCUAUAAGGUUUAUGACUCUCAUUGAGGUGGUUUUUUUUGCGAUGCUGCAACUGAGGAGUUUCUGUGCACAAGUGACUUGGCAGAGUGUACACUUCGGGAAUUACACCACAGAAAUCUGCUUUACUGUGCAGAAACUUGCCAGUGUAGACAAGGCCUUAGAAACUCUAGGAGAAUGUUGUGCUGAAGUGGCUGAGGCACUCAAUUUGCUCGGUGACUGGUGUACAGGGAGGGUCCCCUGGCAUGGGAAAGAGGCGAGACAUUGGGAGCGCUCCAUCAUCAUGAGGUACAAUUUAAUCUUCAGUUUCUUUAUGGCUCUCAAUUUUACUGCCAGGCAAAAUUAUACUUUUGGGGAAUGUCUGACUCCAAGGAGCACCUGUCACUCACCAAGAUAGCUUCCUAGCACGA